rnacentral:pre_miRNA from 1 species
GCGGACGGCGGAAACACCGCCGGGGUGGCCGGAACCGCAAAGUUCCGGCCACCCCGGCGGCACGUUUCUGCUGAGGGA